rnacentral:rRNA from 1 species
UUGGAGGGCAAGUCUGGUGCCAGCAGCCGCGGUAAUUCCAGCUCCAAUAGCGUAUAUUAAAGUUGUUGCAGUUAAAAAGCUCGUAGUUGAAUUUCGGGAUUGACGUGAUGGUCAUGCCUUAAGGGGUAUGAACUGUUACAGUUGAUUUCUCACCUUCUGGAGAAACUUGAUGUCCUUUAUUGGGUGUCUUGCGGAUCCAGGACCUUUACCAUGAAAAAAUUAGAGUGUUUAAAGCAGGCAUUUUUGCUCGAAUACAUUAGCAUGGAAUAAUAGAAUAGGACGGCAUGGUUCUAUUUUGUUGGUUUCUAGGAUCACCGUAAUGAUUAAUAGGGAUAGUUGGGGGCAUUAGUAUUCAAUUGUCAGAGGUGAAAUUCUUGGAUUUAUUGAAGACUAACUACUGCGAAAGCAUUUGCCAAGGAUGUUUUCAUUAAUCAAGAACGAAAGUUAGGGGAUCGAAGACGAUCAGAUACCGUCGUAGUCUUAACCAUAAACUAUGCCGACUAGGAAUCAGACGAUGUUAAUUUUUUAAUGACUCGUUUGGCACCUUACGGGAAACCAAAGUGUUUGGGUUC